rnacentral:rRNA from 1 species
UACGAAGGGGGCUAGCGUUGCUCGGAAUCACUGGGCGUAAAGCGCACGUAGGCGGGUUCUUAAGUCAGGGGUGAAAUCCUGGAGCUCAACUCCAGAACUGCCUUCGAUACUGGCGAUCUCGAGUUCGGGAGAGGUGAGUGGAACUGCGAGUGUAGAGGUGAAAUUCGUAGAUAUUCGCAAGAACACCAGUGGCGAAGGCGGCUCACUGGCCCGGUACUGACGCUGAGGUG